rnacentral:rRNA from 1 species
UACGGGGGGAGCAAGCGUUGUUCGGAUUUACUGGGCGUAAAGGGCGCGUAGGCGGCCACCGCAAGUCGACUGUGAAAUCUCCGGGCUUAACCCGGAAGGUCAGCCGAUACUGCGGGGCUAGAGUGCAGAAGGGGCAACUGGAAUUCUCGGUGUAGCGGUGAAAUGCGUAGAUAUCGGAGAGGAACACCUGCGGCGAAGGCGGGUUGCUGGGCGUGACACGUGACGCUGGAGCGCGAAGGCUAGGGGAGCGAACGGG